GGGGAUGUAGCUCAGUGGUAGAGCGCCCGCUUCGCAACCUAGUGGGAAUGCGGGAGGUCUAGAGUUCAAUCCUCUACAUCUCCA